UACGUAGGGGGCAAGCGUUGUCCGGAAUCAUUGGGCGUAAAGAGCGUGUAGGUGGCUCGGUAAGUCCGCUGUAAAAGUCCAGGGCUCAACCCUGGAAAGCCGGUGGAAACUGUCGAGCUAGAGUCCGGAAGAGGCGAGUGGAAUUCCUGGUGUAGCGGUGAAAUGCGCAGAUAUCAGGAGGAACACCAAUGGCGAAGGCAGCUCGCUGGGACGGUACUGACACUGAGACGCGAAAGCGUGGGGAGCAAACAGG
rnacentral:rRNA from 2 species